UUUCGGCAUUAACUAUUUUACUUAUGGUUUUCCAGAACCAAAGGGUUGGAGUGAACCUUUAGAUUUCCUUGCUUGCUCUUUCCUUUUGGAGUUUCCACUUUGCGAGUCUCUAUGCAUUUGGACUUCUUGGGUAUGAUCAUGGGUGCAGUAGCUUCAACUGACAAGACUUGUACAGGUCUGGAGCAGGUCAAUCAAGAAGCUCUGCUGGAAUUAAACUGACAAGUAAUUGUAGUAUGCUUGUAGUUGAAGUUUCUUAUAGUGAACAUCAUGUUGUUUAUUCGGCAGAAGUUUCAAAGAUUUUACUUUUUAGAAGAAAGUGUAUUGUACUCAUUAGAUUGGGUUUCCAAAGAUUGAUUAUGUUAACAUUUUGAACAAAUGAAAAGUUCUCUUAUUAAUGUUUUUGAACUCAAAAACAAUUUAAAA